rnacentral:rRNA from 1 species
GAUGAACGCUAGCGACAGGCUUAACACAUGCAAGUCGAGGGGCAGCACAGGUAGCAAUACCGGGUGGCGACCGGCGCACGGGUGAGUAACGCGUAUGCAACUUACCUAUCAGAGGGGGAUAACCCGGCGAAAGUCGGACUAAUACCGCAUGAAGCAGGGGUCCCGCAUGGGGAUAUUUGCUAAAGAUUCAUCGCUGAUAGAUAGGCAUGCGUUCCAUUAGGCAGUUGGCGGGGUAACGGCCCACCAAACCGACGAUGGAUAGGGGUUCUGAGAGGAAGGUCCCCCACAUUGGUACUGAGACACGGACCAAACUCCUACGGGAGGCAGCAGUGAGGAAUAUUGGUCAAUGGGCGUAAGCCUGAACCAGCCAAGUCGCGUGAGGGAUGAAGGUUCUAUGGACCGUAAACCUCUUUUAUAAGGGAAUAAAGUGCGGGACGUGUCCCGUUUUGUAUGUACCUUAUGAAUAAGGAUCGGCUAACUCCGUGCCAGCAGCCGCGGUAAUACGGAGGAUCCGAGCGUUAUCCGGAUUUAUUGGGUUUAAAGGGUGCGUAGGCGGCCUUUUAAGUCAGCGGUGAAAGUCUGUGGCUCAACCAUAGAAUUGCCGUUGAAACUGGGAGGCUUGAGUAUGUUUGAGGCAGGCGGAAUGCGUGGUGUAGCGGUGAAAUGCUUAGAUAUCACGCAGAACCCCGAUUGCGAAGGCAGCCUGCCAAGCCAUGACUGACGCUGAUGCACGAAAGCGUGGGGAUCAAACAGGAUUAGAUACCCUGGUAGUCCACGCAGUAAACGAUGAUCACUAGCUGUUUGCGAUACACAGUAAGCGGCACAGCGAAAGCGUUAAGUGAUCCACCUGGGGAGUACGCCGGCAACGGUGAAACUCAAAGGAAUUGACGGGGGCCCGCACAAGCGGAGGAACAUGUGGUUUAAUUCGAUGAUACGCGAGGAACCUUACCCGGGUUUGAACGCAUUCGGACCGAGGUGGAAACACCUUUUCUAGCAAUAGCCGUUUGCGAGGUGCUGCAUGGUUGUCGUCAGCUCGUGCCGUGAGGUGUCGGCUUAAGUGCCAUAACGAGCGCAACCCUUGCCACUAGUUACUAACAGGUGAUGCUGAGGACUCUGGUGGGACUGCCAGCGUAAGCUGCGAGGAAGGCGGGGAUGACGUCAAAUCAGCACGGCCCUUACAUCCGGGGCGACACACGUGUUACAAUGGCGUGGACAAAGGGAAGCCACCUGGCGACAGGGAGCGAAUCCCCAAACCACGUCUCAGUUCGGAUCGGAGUCUGCAACCCGACUCCGUGAAGCUGGAUUCGCUAGUAAUCGCGCAUCAGCCAUGGCGCGGUGAAUACGUUCCCGGGCCU